UACGUAGGUGGCAAGCGUUAUCCGGAAUUAUUGGGCGUAAAGCGCGCGCAGGCGGUUUCUUAAGUCUGAUGUGAAAGCCCACGGCUCAACCGUGGAGGGUCAUUGGAAACUGGGGAACUUGAGUGCAGAAGAGAAAAGCGGAAUUCCACGUGUAGCGGUGAAAUGCGUAGAGAUGUGGAGGAACACCAGUGGCGAAGGCGGGUCUCUGGGCCGUAACUGACGCUGAGGAGCGAAAGCGUGGGGAGCGAACAGG
rnacentral:rRNA from 1 species